UAAAGCAUUGUAACAUAGGUCAUAUAAGUCUAACUUCUAUUUAGAUGCCGGAGUGAAUUUUUUAGACAUUUUUUAUAAGAAAAAGUACGAGAGAUCUCUUUUAUAUUACAAAAUUCCAAAAAGUGUGGUUCACCCCAUGCACACAUUCUACUAAUUCUUCAACGAAGAUUUGAUCUCAGUAUUAUAAAUUGCGCGUUCAGAAAUAACAAAUCAUAGAAAUCGACCUGAUUGUACGACAUUAAAAAAAAGUCAACAGAAAAUAUGUAUGGCGAACUGCCGUUACAGUGAGUAAGAAUGAAACCAUUCGUUGCAGAGAGUAUAACCAAUAUCAGAAGAAAAUUUCGAAACCCUAUCAAAGAGGGUAUAUGGAGAGAGCAGUUUUCUUUAUGGUCUCGAAACCUGUACUGUGAAGAAAGAGCUUCAGGAUCAUAUUGGUGUCACUGGAUUGCGGCCAGGAUGGAGUACUGCCUUGAAGAGUUUUAGUCAAGCAAAUCCCUACUUAAUUUUCAAAGCUCAGUAUCUAUCCAGUGUCGAACCGCUAGUUUAUGAGAAUUAUAGGGACGUAAUCAAACCAAUACUGGUUGUUAAACGGCGGUUGGGAGAAACGCAGAAACACAAACACAUAUACGAACGGCUUCCACACUGUUUCCGUUCACCAAAUUCAUCACAUGGUAUUGGUCAACCUGGGAUAAUAGUAGAAGAUGCUAAGCAGUGGGAUCGAACCUGAAACAGAUUUUUAUUUUCAUAAAACCACGAACAUAAAUCAAUGAAAAUAAACGCCCUAGUAAUAUCAGUUUUUAGGUAUUUUGAAAAUAGCAUGUAUUCUUUCAGUGUAUAGACACCAUUAAAAUAAUAUGCCA